AAGCAACAUUUGGCGCUAAAGGGAGGGCUCCUCUUCGACUAGUUUCAAAGUCCUAUUUCAAGGCUAAUUCCAAGGUCCUACUUCAAGAGGAGAGGGAGUUCAACACCGAUCACCAUGAGGAUGCACAGAGGAGCAUCAAAUGCAUCACAAUGCUCCAACGGUUGGUGGGUCAAUAAUGUCCAGUCGAUCAAUGCAUCACCACCAUCGGCAUAGAAGAACCCUUUAUUGGCAACACUAGUGGUACCAACGAUGCCGGUGACACUGGAAGUCUCCCAUAAUCAAUAUAAUAGCCUUGUCCAAUAAGUGCAAACACUUUCAGCUGUGGUGGGGGAGAUGCAACAAAACAUAGAGCCACUCCCUACUCCAGAAGGUCCACAGUCGGCAAGAGGAAGAUCAGUGAAUCGACUUCCUCAUAGCCUAAGAGCAGGGGCUAGUCAUCAUAGCCGAUCUCUUAAUCUUCCCCGUUACCAUUCUAAAAGAUCUCCUACCCUAUUUCUAGAAG
rnacentral:lncRNA from 1 species